GACGAACGCUGGCGGCGUGCCUAAUACAUGCAAGUUGAGCGAUGAAGAUUGGUGCUUGCACCAAUUUGAAGAGCAGCGCACGGGUGAGUAACGCGUGGGGAAUCUGCCUUUGAGCGGGGGACAACAUUUGGAAACGAAUGCUAAUACCGCAUAACAACUUUAAACAUAAGUUUUAAGUUUGAAAGAUGCAAUUGCAUCACUCAAAGAUGAUCCCGCGUUGUAUUAGCUAGUUGGUGAGGUAAAGGCUCACCAAGGCGAUGAUACAUAGCCGACCUGAGAGGGUGAUCGGCCACAUUGGGACUGAGACACGGCCCAAACUCCUACGGGAGGCAGCAGUAGGGAAUCUUCGGCAAUGGACGAAAGUCUGACCGAGCAACGCCGCGUGAGUGAAGAAGGUUUUCGGAUCGGAAAACUCUGUUGGUAGAGAAGAACGUUGGUGAGAGUGGAAAGCUCAUCAAGUGACGGUAACUACCCAGAAAGGGACGGCUAACUACGUG
rnacentral:rRNA from 1 species